CGAGUCCCUCAAGGCUGCCUUUAUCACUUACCUGCAGGCCAAGCAAGCAGCAGGGAUUAUCAAUGUCCCCAAUCCUGGCUCCAAUCAGGUUGGUCCAUUGUCCUAUCCUACUCCCAAGUAGAACCGGUUUAGGGCAGGGCAGGAGGGCUGGUCUACCAGAUAGGGUGGAUAUUCUCGUACUAACCAGAAUACCCCAGGAGUUGCUAGAGGAGGUGGGCAUGUAAGUAACAUGGGUAAUGGCCACCAAUUGCCCAUCCUGGAGAGGGGGGCUAGGGGACAGCUGAGGGAGGGGUAGUGUACACCUUGAACUGUAGAGCUGGUAACAUGGCACCAAGCCCUGAUGCCCUGCCUACCAGGCACAAGCGGGGUGGGAGGGUCACGGAAGAUGGUGGUUCCCACUCUCUCUCUCCUUCCCCAGCCCGCCUAUGUGCUGCAGAUCUUCCCACCCUGUGAGUUCUCCGAGAGCCACCUCUCCCGGCUGGCCCCUGACCUCCUUGCCAGCAUCUCCAACAUCUCUCCCCACCUCAUGAUUGUCAUUGCCUCAGUGUGAGGCUCUGAAUGGUCGCCACCUCAGGGCGUUUUCCUGAGGCUCUGCUGCAAAAAAAUAAAUAAAUAAAUAAAAUAAAAUAAAAAAAUGAACACAGGACAGAACCAUGGACAACCCAGCCAGGCAGAGGGGAAGCUGCUGAGGGGCAGACUGCCAGGCGCCACCAGCUGCCCUCGCCCUCGUGCCCGCCCAGCUCUAUGGAUCGACCUCCUCUGGGGGUGGUGCUGCUUGUAUGUUUACAUGAAAUUCUCGCCCAGGACAGACCACCGACCCAUGGACUCGCAGAAACCUUAGGGGCUGGGUUUCUCUCCUCACCUGGAGAAAAGGAACCGGGCUGUGGGAUUCUUCUGUUUUGUUAAA
rnacentral:lncRNA from 1 species